ACAGCCACUGAACAAAUACUUGAAGUGGAGCAAUGUGAACACAGACAAGACUAUUACAACAUCAAGGAGUCAUCAUUUUGAUUGGGCAUGAUAAUCGUACUGUGAUCUGACAACCUGAAUCAAACGCAUUCUGUACCUGAGAGAGAUUAUGGCCAAUUACAGAAGGGAGCGGCAAAGAGGGGAAGAGUCUUCAAAUUCCUUUGGAGAACUGGUUCACCAAAUUAGUAAAUUCUGGUAUUUCACAACUGCAUACAUGCACAUUAUGCAUUCUGCUCAGAUUAACAGUAAAUAAUUUAUAAUUAUCUCAGACAUUGACAAAUGUCCAUUGUUUGCGUUGGGAAAGAGAGCAGCACUAUGAUCAUCUAGGAGGUAGAGGCCAGAAGGACUGAUUACAAGAACUACUUCUGCAGUGUACAAGGCAGACUACACAGAACAACUGCUCCCCAAAUGGUGUUGGCGCCUAGACUGAGAACCUAUGGCUUAGAAGGUCUGAGAUAACUGGAGUGAAUCCAUGUUCAAGAAGCCUUCACCAGAACUGGUAAAGAGACUCAAUGAGGUAUUAAGAAAGGAAAAAUAGAAGUCAGAGGAGUGAAGAGAGAUUACAGAUCAAGGCAUAUUAAAAAUUACAGCAAGAUUAAGAACUAGUGAAGAAAAUAAACAUCUAUAAGUCUUGACCAGCCUUGAAUCCCAGAGAACAUUGGACAAAACCAAAACUAGAGUGAAUGUGGAUAUAUAAGGUAGAGUAAACAGCUACGUUUAGAAACUACCACCUUUUAAAAAUAGAAUGUUAGAGGCCAAAGAGAUGGCUCAGCAGAUAAAGGUGUUUUAAAAUGCAA